CUACACUGAACGCGGGUGUCAUAGACUGCCAGGGAAUUUUCAUGAAAACAGCCAGGGAAAGCUUGGAAAAACAUCAGGGAAAUUGAAAAUGACAACAUAGCAUGCACCUGCAGCACCUUCGGAACGGCUGACACGAAGGUCAAGGCCAGCCAGGCAACCGUGCUUGCCA